AAAACUGGCGGCAGGCUUACCAUGCAAGUCGAACGGUAGCAGGAGAAAGCUUGCUUUCUUGCUGACGAGUGGCGGACGGGUGAGUAAUGCUUGGGAAUCUGGCUUAUGGAGGGGGAUAACUACUGGAAACGGUAGCUAAUACCGCGUAACAUCUUCGGAUUAAAGGGUGGGAUCUUCGGACCACUUGCCAUAAGAUGAGCCCAAGUGGGAUUAGGUAGUUGGUGGGGUAAAGGCCUACCAAGCCGACGAUCUCUAGCUGGUCUGAGAGGAUGGCCAGCCACACUGGAACUGAGACACGGUCCAGACUCCUACGGGAGGCAGCAGUGGGGAAUAUUGCACAAUGGGGGGAACCCUGAUGCAGCCAUGCCGCGUGAAUGAAGAAGGCCUUCGGGUUGUAAAGUUCUUUCGGUGAUGAGGAAGGCAGAUAAGUUAAUAGCUUGUUUGAUUGACGUUAGUCACAGAAGAAGCACCGGCUAACUCCGUGCCAGCAGCCGCGGUAAU
rnacentral:rRNA from 1 species